UAGGGAAUCUUCGGCAAUGGACGAAAGUCUGACCGAGCAACGCCGCGUGAGUGAAGAAGGUUUUCGGAUCGUAAAACUCUGUUGUUAGAGAAGAACAAGGACGUUAGUAACUGAACGUCCCUUGACGGUAUCUAACCAGAAAGCCACGGCUAACUACGUGCCAGCAGCCGCGGUAAUACGUAGGUGGCAAGCGUUGUCCGGAUGUAUUGGGCGUAAAGCGAGCGCAGGCGGUUUCUUAAGUCUGAUGUGAAAGCCCCCGGCUCAACCGGGGAGGGUCAUUGGAAACUGGGAGACUUGAGUGCAGGAGAGGAGAGUGUAAUUCCAUGUGUAGCGGUGAAAUGCGUAAAUAUAUGGAGGAACACCAGUGGCGAAGGCGGCUCUCUGGUCUGUAACUGACGAUGAGGCUCGAAAGCGUGGGCAGCAAUCAGG
rnacentral:rRNA from 1 species